ensembl:lncRNA
GAGUAUGGUUUCAAUGGAUGGAAUUGAUAUAGGCUUUCUCUGUACCGACAGUGGGAUGACCAGUAUGGAGGUAUCGUUGCACACAUCUCGGGAGAGACAUAGGAGAGGAAGACUUGGAAGAGGGUUCGCUGGAGGAACACAGGAGUCUAGGAGCAUUGUGCUGACAAAGAGAUGGUCAAAAUAGUCCUGAAGUCAAAACCUGGUGGAGAUAAAAUAAAGUCUGAAUAUGAUAAAACCAAAACUUUGUCAGACAGCAUCCGCACACAGUUCCAUGCUUGUUCCGGACAUGACUGAAGUUGGGUAAGAAUUUGAAUAUAAAUGAUGGAUUAUGAAUAUGAUCCGAGUUAAAAAAAAAAAAAAAAAAAAAUUAAGUACCCUUUUAGUAUGAUUUUUGUUGAAAGGUUAUUUUGUCCCCAAUUCCCUUUGUUUACCAAUGUCCCUGCUUUAUGUCUCAAAACAGAAGAACUCCUCUACAAACUGUGUGGACAAAGUAUGCACUAGGUAUCGUCACUUUGCUUCCUAACCUGGAGGACCCAUACUUUAAAAACGGAUAUGUAAGUUCUUUUUUUCAGAUUAUACAGUGCUAAAAAAU